rnacentral:rRNA from 1 species
GUCUACAGCCAUGUCACUCUGAACAAGCCCAAUCCUGGCUGAUCUUGGUAGCUAAGCAGGGUUGGGUCUGGUUAGUACUUGGAUGGGAGACCACCUAGGAAGACCAGGUGCUGUAGGCA